CUCAGUCUGGUCUCUGCGCCCCCACCUCUGGGAGCCUCGUUGCCCCUCCUCCUCUCCCCGGGCGUAUGAUGCUGUGAUGCGUGUUCUCAGGAAGUAGCCAGCGCUCUGGGCCCAGACCCAUCCUUCCAAGGGAGCGCCAGGGUCCAUCUGGUCCAGUGUGGCCCCCACGGCAUCUUCGGCCUUGUCAUCUCCAGCAUGGCCAUGCUUGGCUCCCUCCUUGGACCACCUGUGUCCAGCUCCCGGCUGCAAAGGCGUCGCUGGACUGCAGGCCCGGCAUACCCUGUCCCCCAGGCCCCCAGCAUCCCUCCCCACAUUCCAAACCCAGUGAUCUGCUUGAUAGAAGAGGACGUGAUUCUUUUCCAGCUUCAGAUUCACCCUGACAGUGAGUCUGCCCCUCGGCCCCGCCCUCCCGCUCUGGCUCCCUCAUCCCUCCCUAUCCGUCUGCCUGGUGACAUCACGUACAGACCGUGCCUUCGAAGUCGUGGGGCACAGGCUGGUGCUGUCCCCUGCUCUCGGCCUGUUCGGUCACUUCCCUGGGGGCCUUCAUUCCAUAUCUUGAGCAGAUGUUUCAGCUCCAGCAUUCUGAGACUCCUCCUGCAGCCCGUGGAGGUGUCAGACUUCUGUGCCUUGGGGGGAAUGGAUUUUGAGGAGAAAAAACAUGGGGCAGAGAGAUCGCCCAGCCAGUCACUACCCCGUGUACCAGAAGCAGCACCUGUUCAACAGCAACCCCCACUGGGACUUCGGGGCCUUCAGGAGGCUCAGCCACCUAGUGCGAGAGACUCAAGUCAACUUCUCCAGGUUUGUCCACCAGUUCUUAGAUCCGGGCACAUACGUGUUUCGAGACAACGCACUUCCCGAGAGCGUUGUGGUGGUGUCGGUGAAGGAGAAGGGGAUAGCCUGCGGCCCUGGCCUGUCCUCUGUGCAGCCCUCCUCCCCGUACCAGCUCUCCAGGCAUGGCAUCGUCAGGCACAGGCUGCCAACCCUGGGCCCAGACUGGGCCGUGAUCACAGGGGUGCUGCUGGCUGUCGGCUUGGCAACUGCGCUGCUGACAGGCCUGGGCCUUGUGCUGAGCCCCCCGCUGGCCCAGACCUGCCCAGUCAGAGCUUGGAGACUCCGGGGGAGGGGCCUCAGGGAGCCUCACGUGCCUGCUGACUGCGUGCCUCUCGGGGACAGCCUUACCGUCCGUGAAGACCUCGGUCCUCAGGGCUCUGGGGAAGGAGCCAGCUGCAGGCAGAGAGCCGUUCCCCGGGACACAGGGGAGCCACACCCUGUGAACACCCUAGAGGACUUCAGCGUCCGCACACUCUAUGACAAGCUUGAGGACCAGAGCCUGCACUUGGUGGCCCAGCUGAGCAAGCACAGGAGCGACGCACUGGCCUUCUACAGGGGCGCCAGCCAGCAACUCCAGGGGCUCAAGGACUUUCUGCAGGGCGUCAGCAUGACCGAGCGGCAAGAUCUGGGCAGAGGUGGAGACCUGGAGAUGGGAGCCAAAGCCACUGCCAGGACAGACACUGGGCAGAGAGAGGAAUGGUGCAGUGGUCACACUGCAGCUUCUCCAAGGGUGCGCUGGCAGCAUCCUCUAGUGCAGAAAGUAUAUAAAUGGGAAGCUGGAAUCCACUUGCCCCGGGAGCCUGGCAGCCCCACAGGCGGCACCCCCAGCAUGUCUCCACUGGGCUUUCAGUCGAAGCUCGACAGAAUGAUUGCGGCCCUGGCAUCUGCACUUUCUCACGCACGUGGGCAACCAGCCAGGGCCCACAGGAAGGCCUCCGCUCAGGGGGGUGAACAGCCUCUUCCCUCCUGUCAACAAGACCCUCAACUGGUGAGUGACACGCUCCUGAAGCCCCGGCCUCAGCCCUCGGAUGAGGAGCAUCAAAGUGCAAGCCCCCAGAAGACCCCAGGACCUGGACGGCUCCGUCAGGGUGAUGCCAAAGGAGGGGACACUGAGAGCCCAGUUUCCGGACACAGGCACGGAGCCUUUCCUGAGCUGCAGAGAAAGAUAUGGCAGGUGGAAGACAUCUUGGACGAACUGAAUAAAGAGUUCUUCCAGCUCACUGCUCAAGCCCUAGAGCUCCAGAAAGAAGAGCACCAGCCAGACCACCUGCCCCCAAGGAAACACAGUACAUUUGCGGUGGUUCCCAGCAUCUUCCCUCAUGCAGAGCAGGAAGACAGACCUAACCCAGCAGAGGCAGGCGGCCCAGACAGAAAGAGUGUGGGAACCUGGGCCCUGAAGAGCGAGCAGGCCCUGAUCCUGGCGGUGAGGAGAGCCUGCCUGGCUCAGAGGAUCGAAGGCCUGGACUGGGAGCUGUCCCUGCUCCUCCAGGUGGCAGAGGGCAGCACGUGUGCAGGAUGGAGCCAGCCCAGCCUGGGGAGACGCUGAGUCACCCAGGGUGCUGCGGCGGUCAUCUGUGGCAGUGCCUUCUCCACAAAGAACAUGGCCAGGUUACUCUGCGCACUCCAGGCAGGAAGACGUGGGCGUCGCAGGGGCCGCCCUGGCUGGGAAUGUGAGCUCGGUUAUGGCAUGCUCCUAUCUGGUAACACCCAGGUUUCUUUCAGAGCCUGGACCUCGGCUUGUGCUGAUUGCUAUCUGUGAUCCUUUGGGGUGAGGGAAAAUAAAGUCACACAGGUUGAGAAUAUCAACGUGUGUUCCCAUCGCUGAGUCCAUCCCUCAAUCCUCUCAU
rnacentral:lncRNA from 1 species